UCUCUCUCUCUCUCUCUCUCUCUCUCUCUCUCUCUCUCUCUCUCUCUCUAAUACUGAUGUGUAUGUGUGGAUCUUUGAGACUCUACCCACAGCUACGACCAGCAACAGGAUCGCUGCAGUGCAUAAACAAGGAGGAAAUAAAAGAACAGUAUCCAGCACAAGCAGAAUAUUUCGAGAAGCUGGCAUCACAAAUUAUAGUCAAACCUUCACACUUGCAGCCAAUCGUGGAGAAGCUCCACAAGAGCGCACACUCGAAAACUUUUGACGCCUUCUUUGAACCACCAACGUUGGAAGAAUAUCUGCGAGGGACAACAACGAGUGAAGUCGAGGCUCGCCCGGAUAAGUGGAUAACCAGAAUCUGUGUGACA